rnacentral:rRNA from 1 species
UACGGAGGGUGCAAGCGUUAUCCGGAUUCACUGGGUUUAAAGGGCGCGCAGGCGGCUUGGUAAGUCAGUGGUGAAAGGCUUAAGCUUAACUUGGGAACUGCCAUUGAUACUAUCAGUCUUGAAUGUUGUUGAGGUUUGCGGAAUGGGUCAUGUAGCGGUGAAAUGCAUAGAUAUGACCCGGAACACCUAUUGCGAAGGCAGCAGGCUAAACAAAUAUUGACGCUGAGGCUCGAAAGCGUGGGGAUCAAACAGG